CAUGCAAGUCGAACGGGACCGGGGGCAACUCCGGUUCAGUGGCGAACGGGUGCGUAACACGUGAGGAACCUGACCAUCGGCGGGGGAUAGCCGGCCCAACGGCCGGGUAAUACCGCGUACGACCUUCGGGGGGCAUCCCCUGAAGGUGAAAGCAGCAAUGCACCGAUGGAGGGCCUCGCGGCCUAUCAGCUAGUUGGUGAGGUAACGGCUCACCAAGGCGACGACGGGUAGCUGGUCUGAGAGGAUGGCCAGCCACAUUGGGACUGAGACACGGCCCAGACUCCUACGGGAGGCAGCAGUGGGGAAUCUUGCGCAAUGGGCGAAAGCCUGACGCAGCGACGCCGCGUGUGGGAUGACGGCCUUCGGGUUGUAAACCACUGUCGGGAGGGACGAAGCUCUGACGGUACCUCCAAAGGAAGCACCGGCUAACUCUGUGCCAGCAGCCGCGGUAAUACAGAGGGUGCGAGCGUUGUCCGGAAUCACUGGGCGUAAAGGGCGCGUAGGCGGCCUGAUAAGUAGGGGGUGAAAUCCUGCGGCUUAACUGCAGGGCUGCCUCCUAGACUGUCGGGCUCGAGCACGGUAGAGGCAGAUGGAAUUCCCGGUGUAGCGGUGGAAUGCGUAGAGAUCGGGAAGAACAUCGGUGGCGAAGGCGGUCUGCUGGGCCGUUGCUGACGCUGAGGCGCGACAGCGUGGGGAGCAAACAGGAUUAGAUACCCUGGUAGUCCACGCCGUAAACGAUGGACACUAGGCGUCGGGGGGAGCGACCCUCCCGGUGCCGUCGCUAACGCAGUAAGUGUCCCGCCUGGGGAGUACGGCCGCAAGGCUGAGACUUAAAG
rnacentral:rRNA from 1 species